rnacentral:lncRNA from 1 species
UUGGCCUAGCCUUGACCAGAGGCAGGAAGCUGGAACCUGGCCUAGCCUGGCCCUGAGGCAGAUGCAGUAUGACUGGCUGUCCAUCGCCAUGCCUUCCUCACCAUGAUGAGCCUUCAAACUGUGAGCCAAGAUCAGCUUUCCUUCCUAAAGCUGCUUUCUCUGGCCAGAGACACCACCGUGGCCUCUUGCACUCGGGUUUUGUCUCCUGAUCAUCAGCUAUUCUUCAUUUCUUCUCGACAUCCCUUCUCAUGCUUUAGAAACAUUGAUGCCAUGCAGUCUAAGCACACACGUGCUGGGAUCCAGCCAUGCAGCAGCCAUCCUUCCCCCUGGGUUAGAGGACCUUAUCCCAGGAAACACCAUUGCUGGAGCCUGUUCUCAAGUCAAAGUCUUCCUACACAGUCCCCUCUAGGAACCAGAAGACAACACUGCCCGAGCCCCUGUGUGAAGGAAAAGGCGUAUAAUGUCAUUACCCAGACUCUCCCCAAUUCAGUUGAAGGGCAUAGAUGAUUUGUGGACACGCUCUCGAGUGAUAGAGGAGGCUGACGCCUGGCUUGCUGAGGGGAAGAGAACAACUCAAUUUGGAAGAAGAGCUGAUUUCCCAGUAUAUGUGUCUGGUGUCUAUGGAGGCCGGAGGAGAGCACUGGAUCCCCUGCAACUGGAGUUACAGAUGAUUGUGAGCCACCACGUGGGUGCUUGGAAUCAGAUCCCAGCCCUCUGCAAGAGCAGCAGGUAAGUGCUCUUAACCACGGAACCAUUCGGUAUAUUGGAGUGGCUGGCUGAACCAAGUUUGGUGGGGCUGCUGGAAUGGGGCUUCUGUCCUAAAAACUCUGGUUACAAGGCUGUCCAGAAGAUCAUCCCUGCACC